rnacentral:tRNA from 1 species
UGAGGGCAUAGCUCAGUGGUGGAGCACUUGUCUUGCAUGUAGGAGGCCCUGGGUUCAAUCCCCAACAUACAG